CCUCUUUCACACCUCAGCUGGCCCCACUUCAAUUCCUUUUACUAACUUCGUUUCUUAUUUCUGCAUGACUAGUAACCUAGAAUAGUAGAUAAUUUGCAUGUGGUUUUGAUUUAAUUGAUUUCUUCUUGCAUGAUGAAGUUGUCAAAUAUUUGCCUCAUGCGUGCGCCAUCAGAGAUGUGGAGGAUGAGGAGCUUCGCAGCUUCUUCUAUGGCAUGGAACCAUGGCAGCCCUAUUGUUGAGAAAUUAAAGUCACUGAACUUGUAGGAAGCAUUAGCUGAUAUUUUCCUGAGGAGCACGGAGCUCAUGAAAGACGCUAGAGGGAUUGCAUCCCUGAGCGGAAUUGUUCCUCCUUUGGUACCAUUUGUUCAAACAUUCGCAGCAGUCAUCACUGCAGCCCACACAGGAUCCCUCUACUAUAUAGCCACUGCUCCGAAAGGUGUAGUGGGAAGAUUGGGAUGAUUCCAUUCUCAUCGUCAAAAAUGUGUCAAGAAGGAUGCAACAGUAGUUGUGCACCCAUGUGCAACUAUAUGUUUGAUGUAAGGAAUUGUGGUUUGUAAUCAGUGUAUCGACUUAUGGUUUGUAAAAGGUGUAUGAACAUGUGACACUUUGUGAGUGAAUUAUAUUUACUAUGUGUUUACUAUGUGAGAUUUGAUGUAGUUAUUAUGAGAAUGAUUUGCAGCAAUUCUGCACCCAUGUGAAUUGUAUGAAAUUAGUGAAAUGCGGUUUAAUUUU